CAGGGUCUUGGUCUCAAACCUCCUAUUACCUACACCCCAUAAUUAUACAUGCGAGCCUCAUCAAAACGGUGAAAUAGCCCACCAAAACACCACGAGCCGGUAUCAGGCCCAUGCCCAUAACACCAAGCACUAAAGCCACACCCACACGGGCAAGCAGCAGUAGUUAAUAUUAGGCCAUAAGUGAAAACUUGACCUAGCAAUGGGGUACACAGGGCCGGUUAAUCUCGUGCCAGCGACCGCGGUUACACGACAGGCCCAAGAUAAUACAGUCGGCGUAAAACACGACUAGAAUGACAGUCCAUACAACUAGGGGUGAAAACACACUGGGCUGUAAAAAGCCAUAAGCAACAAUAACCACCAACCCUAGGCAACAAACACCUUUAACUCGUGAAAGCAAGGACACAAACUAAGAUUAGAUACCUUACUAUGCCUAGCUAUAAAAAGACAAUAAAAUAACUAAUUGUUCGCCAAACAACUACGAGUGAAAACUUAAAACUUAAAAGACUUGACGGUGCUUCACACCAGCCUAGAGGAGCCUGUCCAAUAACCGAUAAUCCACGAUUAACCCAACCCAACCUUGCCAAACAGUCUAUAUACCGCCGUCGCCAGCCUACCUUGUGAAAGCAAAAUAGUAAGCAUAACAGCACACACUAAUACGACAGGUCGAGGUGUAACUUAUGGUUGGGCAUAAGAUGGGCUACAUUUUCUAACCAAGAACAAACGGACAAACCGUGAAACCGGGAACCAAAGGUGGAUUUAGCAGUAGGAUAAGAACAUAAUGCUUGACCGAAAUCUGCAAUGAAGUGCGUACACACCGCCCGUCAUCCCUGCAAGACAAAACACCAAUAAAUAAAACCACAACCACCAACUAAAACAGGGCAAGUCGUAACAAGGUAAGCGUACUGGAAAGUGCGCUUAGAGA
rnacentral:ncRNA from 1 species